GAUGAACGCUGGCGGCGUGCCUAAUACAUGCAAGUCGAGCGAACGGACGAGAAGCUUGCUUCUCUGAUGUUAGCGGCGGACGGGUGAGUAACACGUGGAUAACCUACCUAUAAGGCUGGGAUAACUUCGGGAAACCGUAGCUAAUACCGGAUAAUAUUUUGAACCGCAUGGUUCAAAAGUGAAAGACGGUCUUGUUGUCACUUAUAGAUGGAUCCGCGCUGCAUUAGCUAGUUGGUAAGGUAACGGCUUACCAAGGCAACGAUGCAUAGCCGACCUGAGAGGGUGAUCGGCCACACUGGAACUGAGACACGGUCCAGACUCCUACGGGAGGCAGCAGUAGGGAAUCUUCCGCAAUGGGCGAAAGCCUGACGGAGCAACGCCGCGUGAGUGAUGAAGGUCUUCGGAUCGUAAAACUCUGUUAUUAGGGAAGAACAUAUGUGUAAGUAACUGUGCACAUCUUGACGGUACCUAAUCAGAAAGCCACGGCUAACUACGUG
rnacentral:rRNA from 1 species